UCGAGCUGUAUGCAGGGAAACUUGCACGUACAGUUCUUCGGGGGCCGCGUUUCUGAGAGGGAACGCGGCUACCCACU
rnacentral:ncRNA from 1 species